AAACAGCGAGCCGCAGCUGGCGGCCCGGGGGAGGGGGGGGGGAGGGCGCGGCCCGUGGGGCGCCCGCUCGGUGGCAGCGCCCGGCAGAGGUGGUACUUGGAGGGACCAAGGGCUCGGUAAACACUGCUGCUUCGGAGCCUCGGCCCAGACGGUGGAGGUCCUGCCCCGUUCCCGGGGCGCUGCUGCCCAGCAACUCCCCAAGGCCUGAGGAACUCUCUCAUCCCGGUUUGCAAGACUUCUAGGUGUCUCCAAGCUCAUUACGGACUUCCCAGGCCGCCCUCGGCCUCACCUACCCCAGCACAUUAGAAUAUGAAUCACACGCUAAAGGCGGCCUUUGGUUCCCUCACUUCCCAGCCUUACUCACAUCCUCCUCCUCAGCCUGGAAUGUCUGCACUCCGGAUGGAGAAACUGGUAACACGAGGAUUUGAACCCACAUCUAUCUGGCUACCCUGACUACAGUUUUUCCAUUCUGCUGAAAGCUGGUGGGGACCUGAGUUAGUAGCUCGUCUUCUGGUUUUCAAACUGGGUUCUAAGGAACCCUAGGCCCCAGAGGAAUAGCUUUAGGAAUCUUUGGGGGAAGAACUGGGAAGGAGGAAAGGUGAAAGGGAGGCUAGGUCAAUUGGGCUUGCAAAUACAAAGCUUCAUUUCUCUUUUAUAGAGUGACCUUAAGUUUUAUUUGAAAACAACGGUUUUGCUACUAAAAAACUACUCUUAAACUCU
rnacentral:lncRNA from 1 species